rnacentral:rRNA from 1 species
UACAGAGGUCUCAAGCGUUGUUCGGAUUCAUUGGGCGUAAAGGGUGCGUAGGCGGCGCGGUAAGUCGGGUGUGAAAUCUCGGAGCUUAACUCCGAAACUGCAUUCGAUACUGCCGUGCUUGAGGACUGGAGAGGAGACUGGAAUUUACGGUGUAGCGGUGAAAUGCGUAGAUAUCGUAAGGAAGACCAGUGGCGAAGGCGGGUCUCUGGACAGUUCCUGAUGCUGAGGCACGAAGGCCAGGGGAGCAAACGGG